CUUUAGGUAUCUUAAGUAAGAGUUGAAUUUUUAAUUCAAAAUAUAAUAAUUUAAAAUUUAUUUCUAAUGA
rnacentral:tRNA from 1 species